rnacentral:lncRNA from 1 species
GUGAAGGCGAUGAUGUUGAAAAACUACCUAUUUUAUGAAGGAAUUGAGAAUUUUCCUUUAUGAUUAGAAAAUUACCAAUGGAUCCUUCUGAGCCUUCCAUUUCUAUUCUCUUGAAUGAUUUUUUUUUUCGUUUUAUUUGCUGUGUUUUUUCAUUUCACUAUGAAAAUUGCUGUAUAUUUUCGAUUUUGAAAGAGCUAUUGAGGUGAUGAUGAUACUGAUCCGAAUUUAUAAUGUUGAUCGUUAAAUAUCAGACUACAAUUAUCUGAUCAAUU